rnacentral:lncRNA from 1 species
AUACUGGUGGAAAAAUUUCCAUUUGUUCGAAAAUCAGAGAGAACACUGGAAUGUUACGUUCAUAACUUACUAAGGAUUAGUGUAUAUUUUCCAACCUUGAGGCAUGAAAUUCUGGAGCUUAUUAUUGAAAAACUACUCAAGUUGGAUGUGAAUGCAUCCCGGCAGGGUAUUGAAGAUGCUGAAGAAACAGCAAAUCAAACUUGUGGUGGGACAGAUUCCGAAAUUAUAUUGGAAGCUUUUUGGCAAGAGCUAAAUUUAUUCCUCUUAUUACUGUAAAAUCAUGCCUAGAUCUUUUGGAGCUGUGUUCUACACCUUUGUUUUUAGACACAAGCAGCUUUUGAGCGGAAACCUGAAAGAAGGUUUGCAGUAUCUUCAGAGUCUGAAUUUUGAGUGGAUAGUGAUGAGCCAGCUAAAUCCCCUGAAGAUUUGCUAAGUACCAGCUCGUCUUCUGCUACACCAUCAUUGAGAGGAACAAUCGC